ensembl:lncRNA
CCGGUGACUGGCUGCUGCAGCCAAUGAUGCGAUUCACAUACGUAUUUACCAUAGACUGUAUAUAAUGGUACUUAUGCAGCUAAUCAACGUCAGGCGUCCUUAUGUGCAGCCACCGUUGUUCUCAUAGAUAUGAAUGAGUAGAUAGGACACGCCCCUUUGAGCUGCGUGCUACAGCGAGGCUAAGCUAGUGGGGGCAAAGUUUCAGUGCAUUCCGUUCAUGUAGACGGCGUGAAAACGGAAACAACAAGUAUGCCGGCUCACUGUGCUGCAUACAGUUACACACUACGUUGUACGAUUGAGACAAGGAAACUUGGAAUGACUUUUCAUAGGUUUCCCAGAGACUAUGGGUUGAGGAGGAAUUGGAAGUUUGUCGGCUUAGACCUGGUGUCAUUCCAUCAGUGUUAAACUUCCCGGCUCAUCUUGGAAGAGUACGUGCCAGAAAAACCACGACCAAGCAGCCUUGAGAUCUUAGACAGCGUCUCCCUGAGGUCCCUCUCUAUCUCCCCACACAUCCACCAACCACUGGAACACAUCUCCAAAGUUCUGCCUGACCAGCUCAGCUUCCCCUCAGAAGAAGUGCCUCCACCUGCCAGAUGAAGUAGCCUUUUGAGAGGCAGCUGGCAUCGUGAUUGGACUGUACUUUGGUCUGUUCCAAUCCAGCUUCAGCUCCAGAGACGGCAGGUGGGACGAGUCAACGGAGGCCGGGUGGACGAAGGCAUGCAGCUGAGUACAAUCCAGAAAACAACAGAGGAGGAGUGCAGCAGACCAGGACCAGAACAAACAGAGUAGCAUCACCAAAGAACUACAGACUCUUCACAACCUGCUCAAACUCUUGGUACAGGACCUCACCACACGGGUCAAGAAGGUUUCCUUCUCAUUUCUACUCUGAAGAUCACCUUCUCCUGCUCAAACUGCUGACAAAUGUUUCUGCUGCUCUAAAGUCUGCUCUCCAGAACUUCCUAAAAACUCUGAGUCUCUUCUGCUGCAGGCUGCUUUGUAGAACUGUUCCAGAAAACCUCACUAAACCACAUGGAGGGGCCUCAAGAUAGUCGUCCAAAUGAAACCGUACAAAAACCAAACUAGCACAACCCAAACGCUAAAGUCUCCUGCAGUCUACCAGAGAAGCUCUGAGAACAGAGAAUCAGGACAGGAACUCUUACCUUCUGGACAACCAACGCUGGUUCUCAAACAAGAAUACAGAAUGUGUCUGACCAAAAACCUCUGAAGACUCACUACAGCCAAGAUAAAGACACAACUCAGCUGCACCAAAUCCACUAAUCACUGCACACAUUAGCACCAUGUGCUAACUGUGGCUAAAGAACCACAUUUACCAAGACAACUAUCCAGUACAAAGCCCUAAAACACACCAAGAAACACAUUAAAGACGAUUUUACUGCUGGAAGCUGCAAGCCAACGCCUAAAGAACACACUAAAGCAACGGAACCAAACCCAGUUCACUGGUGAAGAGAAGCAGAGGAAAUGUUUGUCUGCAGCUAAAUAAAGCAGGAAGACACUGAGCUGCUCAGGUGUUCCUGAUAACACCAAGCAGCCACCUGGACAGCCAAUAGGAACACAGCUUCCUGGAAGUCCAGAGGGCGGGCUUAGUGAAGGAAAUUUAAUUUAAAGUUGAAGCAGAAAGUUAACAAAGAAAGUUGAAAACCACCUUCUGAUACCUGAAAUCUCUGAGUUUUCACAC